rnacentral:rRNA from 1 species
UACGGGGGGAGCAAGCGUUGUUCGGAUUUACUGGGCGUAAAGGGUGCGUAGGCGGCCGCGCAAGUCUGGCGUGAAAGCCCCGGGCUCAGCCCGGGAAGGGCGCUCGAAACGGCGCGGCUCGAGUGCCGGAGGGGAGAGUGGAAUUCCUGGUGUAGCGGUGAAAUGCGUAGAUAUCAGGAGGAAUACCGGUGGCGAAAGCGACUCUCUGGACGGCAACUGACGCUGAGGCACGAAAGCGUGGGGAGCAAACAGG